rnacentral:rRNA from 1 species
UAGGGAAUCUUCCACAAUGGACGCAAGUCUGAUGGAGCAACGCCGCGUGAGUGAAGAAGAUCUUCGGGAUCGUAAAACUCUGUUGUAAGAGAAGAACGUGUGUGAGAGUGGAAAGUUCACACAGUGACGGUAACUUACCAAGAAAGGGACGGCUAACUACGUGCCAA